rnacentral:rRNA from 1 species
UACGGAGGGGGCUAGCGUUGUUCGGAAUUACUGGGCGUAAAGCGCGCGUAGGCGGAUCUGCAAGUCGGGGGUGAAAUCCCGAGGCUCAACCUCGGAACUGCCUUCGAUACUGCAGGUCUCGAGUCCGGGAGAGGUGAGUGGAAUUCCUAGUGUAGAGGUGAAAUUCGUAGAUAUUAGGAAGAACACCAGUGGCGAAGGCGGCUCACUGGCCCGGUACUGACGCUGAGGCGCGAAAGCGUGGGGAGCAAACAGG